GUGGGGAAUAUUGGACAAUGGGCGCAAGCCUGAUCCAGCCAUGCCGUGUGAGUGAUGAAGGCCUUAGGGUUGUAAAGCUCUUUCAGUAGGGAAGAUAAUGACGGUACCUACAGAAGAAGCCCCGGCUAACUUCGUGCCAGCAGCCGCGGUAAUACGAAGGGGGCUAGCGUUGUUCGGAUUUACUGGGCGUAAAGCGCACGUAGGCGGAUUGGUCAGUUAGAGGUGAAAUCCCGAAGCUCAACUUCGGAACUGCCUUUAAUACUGCCAGUCUCGAGUCCGGAAGAGGUGAGUGGAACUCCUAGUGUAGAGGUGGAAUUCGUAGAUAUUAGGAAGAACACCAGUGGCGACGGCGGCUCACUGGUCCGGUACUGACGCUGAGGUGCGAAAGCGUGGGGAGCAAACAGGAUUAGAAACCCCGGUAGUCC
rnacentral:rRNA from 1 species